rnacentral:lncRNA from 1 species
CUAAGCUUUGCUAGUCUGCCAAUGAUUAGGCACAAAGAAAGUAGAUUGAAGAGGAAAACACUGACUUAUGUAGUUUGUUAGGAUAACUUUGCUGUUUGUAUUUGCUGUGCACGGACAGGAUCAAGGUCUUUCCUAAUAAAUAGGGCAUUUGCACUCCUGUGAAGAGCCAUACUGAAGUGAGAAGAAUGAAGUGACCAAAAGGAGAAAGUUAUCAGUGUUUUGUUGCAAAGAUGUCUUAUCUUAUGACAUAAGCUUCUAUAACCCCCAAAGUGAUAGAAAUUUACCAUAUAAAGUCUAAAAGAGGUGUUCUUAAGCACUCGCCAGUUCUUCUGCAAGUAGUGAUUCAAGGACCCAGGAUCCUUUGGUCUUAUGGCUCUGUCAUCAACAUGUGGCUUCCAAGUGACUAUGUACAUCUGCAUCAAGCUAUGCAAGGGAAAAAUCAUGGAGAUUGAGGCACCAAAAAUGUUUAUUGCCAGGCAUUGAGGUAGUAUACGUCAUUUCCACUCAGAUUCCACUGGUUAAAAGACUGUCAAGACAUCAGUUUAUUGCAGACUGGAAAACGUCCUUUAACCACAUGCCCAGGAGGAAAAGUAAAUGGGUUUGGCAAACAGCUGGCCAGUGUUAAAUGACACUAUCUUUGUUUCUUCAUCAAUCAAUUUUUUAAUUAGAAUUUUACAGUUGUGCUUGGGAGGCUACAGUUCUCUUCAUUUCUAGCUUAUUGCAAGCUGACGGAGGUGGGGGAUUUUCAUAUUCUAGAAGUCGGAGGACUUCGUGUGCAUGCAGAAGUUCCUUGUAGUACAUGUGUGUUCUCGUCUUCACAGUCGCCCACUAUAGAUCAGGAGCCAAAACUAAAAAACAUAAAGAGAGAAGUGGAAGCAUGCUCCUCACCACAUGUUAGUGGAGAAAUAAAGAAGGGAACCAGACUGGGAUUGCUAAAGCCCAACCUGGAUUUGGCUGUUGAUCUCUAACACAUGGUGUAUGAUAAAUAGAUUCCAAAAUUGGACCAGCUGAAUCAUUACAGACAAACCUCAAUUAUCUCCAUAUCAGCUGAGAUGUUCACUUUUAAUAAUUAUAAAUUAAUCAGGAACUUAUUCCAGAUUUCUGUCUAUAUGUGCUUUAUUCUUGGAUAUUUUUUUUUUGUCUUGCAAAAAUCAGUUUUCAUAAUGAUAUGGAGCUGGGUCGAUGUGGCUUCCCAUCAAGAUAAUUGAGUUUCCUGAGGCUGGGUCAUAUAAAUUUCAGAGCACAGGUAGGCUGGCAUGGCAUCACGGUAUUGAAGAUUCAGAAGGCCAUUCCACUUGAGAGUUUGUCAGCUGCAGAGCCUAGAGGUGCAUCCCAUUGGUGCUGAUAUUGGCUUUUCAGCUGUACUUCUGAUGACUCUCAGGAGCU